AACUGCAGGGGCAAGUGACAUUAACCACAGUAGUAAACCUGGGAAAUGACUUCCAGGGGCCCGCCCACCUUCCAAUGGGCCAAUCAGCUGUCGAGGAUGACAAACUCUCAAAUUCAUGGCUUUUAUAAUAGCUUGGAGGAGGAGACUUAAGAAAUUAUAUGGUCUGCUGCAUCAGAAAAAAAUCAUUUUCACUUUCUAUUCACUGAAGUAAACAUAAGAUUUCUUCUUAGAGAGUGAAGUCAAACAUUGUCGUCCACCUGCUCAGUGGCCCACUAAAUGUAAAUCGGGCCAUGAAGGUUUUCUGAGUGUUUCAUGAAUGAAGAAAUUGAGGCCAGCAAGGUGAAGUGACUUACCCAGGGUCACACAGCUGGAAGUCAUUUCCAUGAUAAUAUCUCAAAGAGGACCGUUUCCAGGAGGGCACUGCACCUUAGCAGGUGAAGAAGGCAGAAGCCACGACCUGGCUACCCGGAAGAUGUGAAUUUGUGAACUGUUCAGACAAGACAAAUCCAAGGUGAACCUGAGCUAUCUCUUUAACAGUCCUGAAGAGGGAACUUCACUUCCUGGAAAAAUGUGACCAGUGAGGGGCUAUUGUUUCGUGUUUAAGCAUUUGCUCGUGCUCCUUUGUGUGUUGCUUCAUUUUAGGCAUUUCUUUUCUUGUGGAGGAAAUAAAUAGCUGUCUUCUAUCUGA